rnacentral:RNase_P_RNA from 1 species
AGUCAGAUGAGUGGUUGCGGCUGCAUAUAUGCAGGUGAGGAAAGUCCGGGCUUCAUAGGGCAGGAUGCCGGAUAACGUCCGGUGGAGGUAACUCCCAGGCUAGUGCAACAGAAAUAAACCGCCGAUUUAUCGGUAAGGGUGGAAAGGCGAGGUAAGAGCUCACCGCUGGACUGGUAACAGGACAGGCUCUGUAAACCCCAUCCGAAGCAAGGUCAAACAAAAGACUAUACGGCUGCCCGUCGUGUCUUUAGGUAGACCGCUUGAACCUUACGGUAACGUAAGGUCUAGAUAGAUAAUCACUCUCGACAUAACCCGGCUUAUAGUCUGACUUA